rnacentral:lncRNA from 1 species
AUGAAAUACAAACUUCUUGCUGCCAUGCAACAGCUGUCUCUCCAGGCUGAGGUGUAUAACCUUGCACUUAGGUUUAUUAAAAUAUAUGAUGAUGUGCUGAUGACCAUGAUGGUGAUGCUAGUAAUGCCCACUGCCACGCAUAACCAAGCUGACAAGUACUCCCAGAAAACCAGUGUCCAAAAAAAAAGAAGGCAACCUUUUCUGGAUGAAAACCAGUAUGUAAUUAUCUGUAUGAGCAUAUUUAUUGUCAUUAUAAGAACAUUUUGGUCUGUUAUGCUAACAAUUCUCUUAUCUCAGCAGAAAUCUUAACAACAGCAACUUGGUGGACAUCUGAGUGGUGUGUUUUUGGGAGGUGCCUUCAUUUUUUAGAUGGAAGGAAAGCUUUCAGCAUUGUAUUAACCUCUCAUUUUCCUAUUUCAGUAACCUUUCCUUAGUUCCUCCUGAGCCACUGACACAUCAGGCAACCCACUGAUUAUGGACAUUCAUUAAUUGUGGUACUUCUUCGCAGAUGAUGCCAGCAUAUUGAAUACCCUUUGUCAUUGUCUUCUGCCAGUGUUUCCUUGGCCCUACUCACUUGCUUUUUUUUCCCUUGGGUACCCAAUUCCAUACUUGCUUACCACGUCUCCCAUCUUCCAUACUGUGUACAUCUCGCAACUACCUGAGCCUUCUUUCUUUGUUUAUAUUAUCUAACAUGUCCUGCUCUGUCAGCCUCUUUACUCUCACAUUUCUUAUUUUGUUUUUCCAUUAAAUGUGUAGUGUCUUCCUCAACCGUCUGUAAUUGGCAGCUUUUGAUGUCUUUUUGUUAGUCACUGUCAUCUGCCAAAUCUCUGCUCCUUACAAUACUGUGUUCAAUACAACCAGAUAAUAUAGUCUGAUCUUUAGUUUGGUAUGGAGACCUCUGUUUGACUAGAUGUUCUUCAUCCUUCCAAAGGUGGUGGUUACUUUUCCUAAUCUUGUAUGAAUAUCUUUAUGGCAGCCACCUUCAAAUAUCAUCACAUCCCCAGGUAGCAAAACUUUUCUAUCUGAUCAAUUUCUUUCCCAUUCAUGUACACCUUUGCUUGUGUUAAGAUCAUGAAGGUCGGAAACCAGACAACUAUGCAAAAGUGUAUAUGGAUGAUGAGGAAAUUGUAGUUGAAGCAGCGUCAAAGUCUGUGAAACUGGAUUAUAGUUUCAUGACCUGUGGCAAAAUUAGGUAUGUUAGGUCACCCAGAAUCACUGUUGGUAUAGAGAUAGCCUUAAUGGUAAGGUAGUAGGGUGAGAACAGUGUCCUUUACUGUCGUGUGUGUGUGUAGGCGGAAAGGGGGCAUUUAUUUAUUUUUAAAUAAAUAUAAAGUUUGUCAUAAUCA